rnacentral:rRNA from 1 species
UGCAGUCGAACGGCAGCACAGAGGAGCUUGCUCCUUGGGUGGCGAGUGGCGGACGGGUGAGGAAUACAUCGGAAUCUACUUUUUCGUGGGGGAUAACGUAGGGAAACUUACGCUAAUACCGCAGACGACCUACGGGUGAAAGCAGGGGACCUUCGGGCCUUGCGCGAUUGAAUGAGCCGAUAUCGGAUUAGCUAGUUGGCGGGGUAAAGGCCCACCAAGGCGACGAUCCGUAGCUGGUCUGAAAGGAUGAUCAGCCACACUGGAACUGAGACACGGUCCAGACUCCUACGGGAGGCAGCAGUGGGGAAUAUUGGACAAUGGGCGCAAGCCUGAUCCAGCCAUACCGCGUGGGUGAAGAAGGCCUUCGGGUUGUAAAGCCCUUUUGUUGGGAAAGAAAUCCAGCUGGCUAAUACCCGGUUGGGAUGACGGUACCCAAAGAAUAAGCACCGGCUAACUUCGUGCCAGCAGCCGCGGUAAUACGAAGGGUGCAAGCGUUACUCGGAAUUACUGGGCGUAAAGCGUGCGUAGGUGGUCGUUUAAGUCCGUUGUGAAAGCCCUGGGCUCAACCUGGGAACUGCAGUGGAUACUGGGCGACUAGAGUGUGGUAGAGGGUAGCGGAAUUCCUGGUGUAGCAGUGAAAUGCGUAGAGAUCAGGAGGAACAUCCAUGGCGAAAGCAGCUACCUGGACCAACACUGACACUGAGCACGAAAGCGUGGGAGCAAACAGGAUUAGAUACCCUGGUAGUCCACGCCCUAACGAUGCGAACUGGAUGUUGGUGCAAUUUGGCACGCAGUAUCGAAGCUACGCGUUAAGUUCGCCGCCUGGGGAGUACGGUCGCAAGACUGAAACUC